rnacentral:rRNA from 1 species
CACAUGCAAGUCGAACGGUAACAGGAAGCAGCUUGCUGCUUUGCUGACGAGUGGCGGACGGGUGAGUAAUGUCUGGGAAACUGCCUGAUGGACGGGGGACUAACUACUGGAAACCGGUAGCUAAUACCGCAUAACGUCGCAAGACCAAAGAGGGGGACCUUCGGGCCUCUUGCCAUCAGAUGUGCCCAGAUGGGAUUAGCUUGUUGGUGGGGUAACGGCUCACCAAGGCGACGAUCCCUAGCUGGUCUGAGAGGAUGACCAGCCACACUGGAACUGAGACACGGUCCAGACCUCCUACGGGAGGCAGCAGUGGGGAAUAUUGCACAAUGGGCGCAAUGCCUGAUGCAGCCAUGCCGCGUGUAUGAAGAAGGCCUUACGGGUUGUAAACGUACUUUCAGCGGGGAGGAACGGUGCUGUGGAUUAAUACACCGCAGCAAUUGACGUUACCCGCAGAAGACGCACCGGCUAACUCCGUGACAGCACGACCGCGGUAACUACGGAGG